UACGUAGGGUGCGAGCGUUGUCCGGAAUUAUUGGGCGUAAAGGGCUCGUAGGCGGUUUGUCGCGUCGGGAGUGAAAACCUUGGGCUUAACCCAGGGCUUGCUUUCGAUACGGGCAGACUAGAGGUAUGCAGGGGAGAACGGAAUUCCUGGUGUAGCGGUGAAAUGCGCAGAUAUCAGGAGGAACACCAAUGGCGAAGGCAGCUCGCUGGGACGGUACUGACGCUGAGGCGCGAAAGCGUGGGGAGCAAACAGG
rnacentral:rRNA from 1 species